rnacentral:rRNA from 1 species
UACAGAGGGUGCGAGCGUUAAUCGGAAUUACUGGGCGUAAAGCGCGCGUAGGCGGUUUUUCAAGUCGGAUGUGAAAUCCCCAGGCUCAACCUGGGAACUGCAUUCGAGACUGGAUUACUAGAGUAUGGGAGAGGGAAGUGGAAUUUCCGGUGUAGCGGUGAAAUGCGUAGAUAUCGGAAGGAACAUCAGUGGCGAAAGCGACUUCCUGGACCAAUACUGACGCUCAUGUGCGGAAAGCGUGGGGGAGCAA